rnacentral:lncRNA from 1 species
UCCGGACUCGGUAGCGGGCUGUGGUCUUGGGCUCCUGGCUCGUGUUAACUCGGACGACGACGUGGGCCCUGCGGAGGUAGAUGCUCCGCUCCUUCCUUCCGUCUGCUUCCUUCCUGUCCUGGCCUGGGCGAGGACCAUGUCUUAUAUUUGCUCCGUGACACGCCCCGCCUUGACCUCCACUGGCGGGAAGUCCACUUCCGCUGCUCCUGGGCGGCUCCCGGCCUCACUCCGGGCGUCUUUUGCUGAGUUGGAACCUAGCUGCACCUCCUAUCUUUGAACCCUUGAGCAGGUCUCCGCCAGCUUAUUGCAGGUCCAUGAGGGUGGAUGACCGGGUCUGAGGGCAGCCAGAGUACAGCGGAUAACAGGGCGUGGUGGCGCACCUCGGUCAUCGCACCCCUCGAAGGGCAAAGGCAGAACAAUUGCUCCAAGUUAGAGGCCGGUUUGAGUUACCUGGCGAGUCCCACGCCAGCCAAGGCUAUUUUGAAGGAACCUGUCUCCAAAACAAAACAACAGCAAAACAAAAUAAGUAAAUUAUAACUUGGAGCUAGCGAGAGAAUUGGGAGAGGGAACGCUGGUUGACUUCUAACAUUCAACAACUGCUGAUGUGGGCAACGGGGCUUGCCGUUGCAUUAAGGGCUGAGGUUGAGUCGGGACAAUGGAAAAGGAAAAACUAACUUGAGUGUUUACUUGAGGAGAAGAGCUUUGUGCUGAGCAAGUGGUUUCCAGAAACUGAUAGCGUUUAUAAGGCAGGUCGGUUGUGGAACUGGGCUGUCGCUCAGAAGUAACCUUGGAAAUUAACCCCCUAAUAAAGUUUAUUUCUAGAUGCCAGUCAUGUGAAGAUCCUGGGUACUGUGAGAAGGUGCUUUCCCAAGUGGGUUUGGGAUCUUCUCUCAGAAAGGUUUUGGCCAGAGGGGAAAACCUGAAAAGUAUCUAUCUUCCUCUUGGCUUCUUGUGAAAAUAACACAUUUUUUAAAAUAACAAACCAGAAAGAUACACAGUGAAAAUUAUUUCCUUCCUCGGUCGUGUGUUCAGAAGCACAGUUAAUUUAAUAAACUUCCAGGUAUGGUUUGUGGAUGUGUUA